rnacentral:rRNA from 1 species
GACGAACGCUGGCGGCGUGCUUAACACAUGCAAGUCGAACGAAGUGGCGAACGGGUGAGUAACGCGUAAUCAACCUGCCCUUCAGCGGGGGACAACAGUUGGAAACGACUGCUAAUACCGCAUACUGAAGGGGGGGGUGGCGUCGGAUUAGCUAGUUGGAGGGGUAACGGCCCACCAAGGCGAUGCUCAGUAGCCGGGGUGCGAGGAUGCACGGCCACAUUGGGACUGAGACACGGCCCAGACUCCUACGGGAGGCAGCAGUGGGGAAUCUGCCGCAAUGGACGAAAGUCUGACGGAGCAACGCCGCGUGAGUGAUGACGGCCUUCGGGUUGUAAAGCUCUGUUAAUCGGGACGCGGUACCGGAAUAGAAAGCCACGGCUAACUACGUGCCAGCAGCCGCGGUAAUUC